UACGGAGGAUGCGAGCGUUAUCCGGAUUUAUUGGGUUUAAAGGGUGCGUAGGUGGUGAUUUAAGUCAGCGGUGAAAGUUUGUGGCUCAACCAUAAAAUUGCCGUUGAAACUGGGUUACUUGAGUGUGUUUGAGGUAGGCGGAAUGCGUGGUGUAGCGGUGAAAUGCAUAGAUAUCACGCAGAACUCCGAUUGCGAAGGCAGCUUACUAAGCUACAACUGACACUGAAGCACGAAAGCGUGGGGAUCAAACAGG
rnacentral:rRNA from 1 species